AUUGAACGCUGGCGGCAUGCCUUACACAUGCAAGUCGAACGGUAACAGGUUAAGCUGACGAGUGGCGAACGGGUGAGUAAUACAUCGGAACGUGCCCAGACGUGGGGGAUAGCUCGGCGAAAGCCGGAUUAAUACCGCAUAAGCUCUGAGGAGGAAAGCGGGGGACCGUAAGGCCUCGCGCGUUUGGAGCGGCCGAUGGCAGAUUAGGUAGUUGGUGGGGUAAAGGCUUACCAAGCCUACGAUCUGGAGCUGGUCUGAGAGGACGACCAGCCACACUGGGACUGAGACACGGCCCAGACUCCUACGGGAGGCAGCAGUGGGGAAUUGUGGACAAUGGGCGAAAGCCUGAUCCAGCAAUGCCGCGUGCAGGAUGAAGGCCUUCGGGUUGUAAACUGCUUUUGUACGGAACGAAAAGGCGCCUACUAAUACUGGGUGUUGAUGACGGUACCGUAAGAAUAAGCACCGGCUAACUACGUGCCAGCCGCCGCAGUAACAC
rnacentral:rRNA from 1 species